CCGAAAUGCGCGGACUAACAAUGCAAGUCGGACGGUAGCACAGAGAACUUGGUCUCGGGUGAGAAGAGGGGGAGAGGGGAGCCGGUGUGGGGAUCUGCGCGAUAGAGGGGGAGAACCACUGGAAAAAGGGGGGAAAACCGCAUAACGUCGCAAGACCAAAGAGGGGGACCUUCUGGCCUCUCACUAUCGGAUGAACCCCCAUGGGAUUAUCUCUUAUGCGGGGUAAUGGGCCCCCUCUGCGACAAUACCUCUCUGGGCUGAGAGGAUGACCACCCCCACUGGGACUGAGACACGGUCCACACACCUCCGGGAGGCGCCAGUGGGGAAUAUUGCACAAUGGGCGCAAGCCUGAUGCGCCCCUGCCCCGUGUGUGAAAAAAGCCUUCUGGUUGUAAAGUACUUUCUCCGGGGAGGAAAGCGACACGGUUAAUAACCCCGUGUAUUGUGGUUUCCCCCACAAAAAACACCGGCUAACUCCGUGCCCCCAGCCGCGGUAAUACAGAGGGGGCGCGCGUUAUUCUCAAAUACUGGGCGUAAAGCGCACGCACGCGGGCUGUGAAAUCUCAUAUGAGAUCCCCGCGCUCUACCUGUGGACUGCGUUUGAGACUGUGACGCUCGAGUCUUGUGUAGAGGGGUAGAAUUCUCCGUGUGUCGCUGAGAUGCGUAGAGAUCUGGAGGAAUACCGGUGGCGAAGGCGGCCCCCUGGACAAAGACUGACGCUCAGGUGCGAAAGCGUGGGGAGCAAACAGGAUUAGAUACCCUGGUAGUCCACGCCGUAAACGAUGUCGACUUGGAGGUUGUUCCCUUGAGGAGUGGCUUCCGGAGCUAACGCGUUAAGUCGACCGCCUGGGGAGUACGGCCGCAAGGUUAAAACUCAAAUGAAUUGACGGGGGCCCGCACAAGCGGUGGAGCAUGUGGUUUAAUUCGAUGCAACGCGAAGAACCUUACCUACUCUUGACAUCCACGGAACUUGGCAGAGAUGCCUUAGUGCCUUCGGGAACCGUGAGACAGGUGCUGCAUGGCUGUCGUCAGCUCGUGUUGUGAAAUGUUGGGUUAAGUCCCGCAACGAGCGCAACCCUUAUCCUUUGUUGCCAGCGAUUCGGUCGGGAACUCAAAGGAGACUGCCGGUGAUAAACCGGAGGAAGGUGGGGAUGACGUCAAGUCAUCAUGGCCCUUACGAGUAGGGCUACACACGUGCUACAAUGGCGCAUACAAAGAGAAGCGACCUCGCGAGAGCAAGCGGACCUCACAAAGUGCGUCGUAGUCCGGAUCGGAGUCUGCAACUCGACUCCGUGAAGUCGGAAUCGCUAGUAAUCGUGGAUCAGAAUGCCACGGUGAAUACGUUCCCGGGCCUUGUACACACCGCCCGUCACACCAUGGGAGUGGGUUGCAAAAGAAGUAGGUAGCUUAACCUUCGGGAGGGCGCUUACCACUUUUUGAUGCUGUCCUCU
rnacentral:rRNA from 1 species